UAAAGUGAAUUUGCUCGGUUACAUUGAGAUUUACGUUGUUAGGCGCUUUAU
rnacentral:tRNA from 1 species